rnacentral:rRNA from 1 species
UAAGGUAGCGAAAUUCCUUGUCGGGUAAGUUCCGACCUGCACGAAUGGUGCAACGAUCUGGGCACUGUCUCAACCAUGAUCUCGGUGAAAUUGUAGUAUCGGUGAAGAUGCCGGUUACCCGCAGUGGGACGAAAAGACCCCGUGCACCUUUACUAUAGCUUCGUAUUGACCUUGGUCAAACAAUGUGUAGGAUAGCUGGGAGGCUUUGAAGCUGCGUCGCCAGGCGUGGUGGAGCCGUUGUUGAAAUACCAGCCUUUGUUUGAUCGGGGCCUAACCCCUAACGGGGGACAGUGCGUGGUGGGUAGUUUGACUGGGGCGGUCGCCUCC